GGGUUUUAAACCCUAAACUAAACUUUUUUCCUUUCAGCCAGCAUUAGGGUUUUAAACCCUAAACUGAGCUUUUCCAUGUAAUCAGCAUUAGGGUUUUAAACCCUAAACUGACCCUUUUCCUUUAAUCAGCAUUAGGGUUUUAAACCCUAAACUGAACCUUUUUCCUUUCAGCCAGCAUUAGGGUUUUAAACCCUAAACUGAGCUUUUCCAUGCAGUCAGCAUUAGGGUUUCAAACCCUAAACUGACCCUUUUCCUUUAAUCAGCAUUAGGGUUUUAAACCCUAAACUGAAUUUUUCCUUUAGUCAGCAUUAGGGUUUUAAACCCUAAACUGAACUUUUUUCCUUUAGUCAGCAUUAGGGUUUUAAACCCUAAACUGAAUUUUCCAUUCAGCCAGCAUUAGGGUUUUAAACCCUAAACUGAGCUUUUCCAUGCAAUCAGCAUUAGGGUUUUAAACCCUAAACUGACCCUUUUCCUUUAAUCAGCAUUAGGGCUUUAAACCCUAAACUGAAUUUUUCCAUGUAGUCAGCAUUAGGGCUUUAAACCCUAAACUGAACUUUUUCCCAUUCAGCCAGCAUUAGGGUUUUAAACCCUAAACUGAGCUUUUCCAUGCAAUCAGCAUUAGGGUUUUAAACCUUAAACUGAAUUUUUCCUUUAGUCAGCAUUAGGGUUUUAAACCCUAAACUGAACUUUUUCCCAUUCAGCCAGCAUUAGGGUUUUUAAACCCUAAACUGAGCUUUUCCAUGCAAUCAGCAUUAGGGUUUUAAAUCCUAAACUGAAUUUUUCCAUACAAUCAGCAUUAGGGUUUUAAACCCUAAACUGAACUUUUCCAUUCAGCCAGCAUUAGGGUUUUAAACCCUAAACUGAGCUUUUCCAUGCAAUCACCAUUAGGGUUUUAAACCCUAAACUGACCCUUUUCCUUUAAUCGGCAUUAGGGUUUUAAACCCUAAACUGAACCUUUUUCCUUUCAGCCAGCAUUAGGGUUUUAAACCCUAAACUAAGCUU
rnacentral:lncRNA from 1 species